AGGUUGAAGAUGGACAGUAUUACUAUUUAGCAUUCAAAAAGCACGGAGUUAACUUGGAGGAUUUCUUGAAAAAUGAUGACAACAAAAAGCGACUUAGUAACAAGCACUUGAUCAGCUCUUUUUACCAAAAAAUACUUGUUGAUUUGCUACAAGUUUGGCGGCACUUUGUGGGGCUUCAAGUUAAGUGUGACCUAAAGCUGAAGAACGUCUAUAUAUACGAUGGUGGAGAGGCCCUGCACGUCUCAUUGGUCGACUUUAGCAUUAGGGGAGGUAAAGUAUGCAUUUAUUGUUUUUAAGCUAAGUUGGAGUUCAUUAUAUAAAUUGAUCAAUCUAGAACAAAAGAGAUUAUCAAUCAACUGUUAACAUUACUUCUA